UAGAAAGGGAGGGAGGACUGGGGCAGGAGUUGUGUAAAAGGGGCUGAAGUCCUGCGCUGCCUUCUCCGCUGUUUGCGGCGAUAAAAAAGCCUCCAGAUACACAAAUUCUUUCAGACCUCGCAUCGUGGACGUUGUGAAUAAAUCCUCAGACAACGACACGCCCUGUGAAGCGCCAGAACUCCGCCGAGCGGCCACGGGCGAGGCAGCUUGCUGAACUCCUGUUGGACCGUUCAGAUGUGCUGGAGCAGGCAGGAGCGACCCGGCCGGUGGUCAAGAAAUGCACGCACCCAAAUCAGAAGAAGGAGGAGGAGGAGGAGGAAGGAGUCAUCAUUUGUGCUUUUUUAAGGGACUUGGAGCUGUCUUGUUUUGAACUCUCACGCUCGCUGGCUGACUCCCAGCGCUCCCUCACUCGUGGCCCCAAAUGGCUGACACACAGCAGUUCUUCACUGGCAAGCUUUAUGUUCCUGUACACAUGCUAAAGCUGCCAGCUGAAGAACUGCUCUGGUCAGCCCUCCCCCGGAUGACUCAAGAGGAGGAAGAGGAUGUGGGGUGCUGGGAAUAAGAUUCAGUUCAGACUCAGUAUGAAACCAAAUUUGAACCACUAUUGUGAAUAGUUUUGUAUUGACUGUAUAAAGCAUUUAUUUUAGAAUAUUUAUUAGAUAGUUACAGAUGUCUGUUUCUCACAAAAAAAAAAACUGCUUAAAUGUUUUCUUUUCCUUAUAUAAUAAACAACAAAAUGGUCUCA